CUCGAGGCAGGGGGCCUCAGCUCAGAUUGCGAGAGGGUGCAAGCCAGGCUGAGGGAUCCCCCUGGUGCACG
rnacentral:pre_miRNA from 1 species